rnacentral:rRNA from 1 species
CCUACGGGGGGCUGCAGUAGGGAAUCUUUCACAAUGGGCGAAAGCCUGAUGGAGCAACGCCGCGUGCAGGAUGAAGGCCUUCGGGUUGUAAACUGCUUUUAUAAGCGAGAAAUAUGAUGGUAACUUAUGAAUAAGGAUCGGCUAACUACGUGCCAGCAGCCGCGGUCAUACGUAGGAUCCGAGCAUUAUCCGGAGUGACUGGGUGUAAAGAGUUGCGUAGGUGGCAUAAUAAGUAGCUAGUGAAAUCGGGUGGCUCAACCAUUCAGACUAUUAGCUAAACUGUUAAGCUCGAGACCGUUAGGGGUAACUGGAAUUUCUAGUGUAGGAGUGAAAUCCGUAGAUAUUAGAAGGAACACCAAGAGCGUAGGCAGGUUACUGGGACGGUUCUGACACUAAGGCACGAAAGCGUAGGGAGCAAACGGGAUUAGAUACCCCAGUAGUC